AUUCAAUGCCGCUUCACGUGUGCAAUCCUAUUUAUAUGUCUAAAUAAUGACAUUAUUAUGUAAUAAUACACUACUACAUAAUACGAGAUGAGCAUUUUGACGCGUCGCUGGCAUGCUGAACCGAUUUGAGGUAUAGUGACGGACAUUGUUGUGUUUAUUAUUACCUAAUUUAUAUUACAAUACAUUCACACCGGAACGAGUUGCCCGAGUGUCCAUCGACUAUAAGGUACUGUAGUUACGUUGAUGUAUUAAAUAUUAAUGUAUUAUACGAUAUAUUUAUACCUAGGUAUAUAAAACAAUUAAAAAUAUAAAGAUUACAGCUUUGGAAAACAAACUUGUUCAACUUGCUGAAUUCUGCGCAAUUAGCGAUAAAUCAAUAUAAUAUAAUAUAAUCGUGAUUAUCCAUUUUCUUAGGUGAUGAAAAAAGCCCGUAAACAUGCUAAUGUGUUUCGUUUUAAAUAAUAGAGCAUUUUAAUAAAGACAAUUUUAGAUUAUUCUGUAUUCGAUACAAAAAUAUAUAUUUAAUUUAUUUUUGAUUUAAUAACAUUUUUAUAAUUAUGAUUUCGUCAUAAUCUAUCUAAAAUAAAAAUAAAAUCAUCGUCCACAGAAUCAUAGUACGAUAUAUUCGAAUGAAAUAAAUCAUUGACCAUCAUUCUUCACGGAUUUAUUGUUUUUACAUUGUAUGCACAAUAACAUCAAACGCGGUGUUAUUCGAUUUUACUUAGGAUAGAGUACUUUUUUGUUGGGGGACCUGUUUUAAAUAAAUAAUUACAUAUAAAAACUAAUAAAAGUAAUCAAGUUUGUAAGAAAUGUUUUAUACGAUAUGAAGUAUAAAAUGUAUCUUUAUUUAGUUUUAUAAAAACUUUUUACAUUAGGUAUUGGUGGUAUAGCUAAUCAAAUUUUAAUUAUUAUUAUUUUAUAGGCUAAACUUAUUCAUUUUUGGCAAAAUCGUGAUUGCCCUCUUGAUACCCCCCCCCCCCCCACACACACACACCAAUUGGAGACACAUUUUAUUCUACUGUAUUUAUUAUAACACAACUGCGAGUCUGCGAAUAACCAAUGAACAUUAAAACAAUAUUUUAUAGUUUUAUACAUAUCGCUGACGCCCUCACUGGUAAUAUUUUUACCUGGUUUAGGUAUAUACUAUACAAUAUUAGAUAUAGUGAAUAUAUCGUAUACAUUUAUUGCGAAAGAAACAUUACUUUCUGAUCCAAGAAUUAUCAAGUAAAUUGUAUAACUCAAGGUUAUUUUUGAACAGUACAUAUUCAACAGUGUUUUUAUUUCAAUAUAACUAACAGAGGAAUAAAUAAUGGAUUUAAUUAAAAUUAUAACUACCAUUAAAUUAUCAACUGUUGUAAACCACAAAACCACAAUUUUACAGAAGACUCUCAAGAUAUUAUGGUUAUUUACCAACAUGAUAGUUUAUUUAAUUUAAUUAGAACCUAAGUAUUUUUUAUUUUAUAUAAUAAUAAAUUGAUUUAGGAGUUAUUAUAAAAAUCGUACAAAUCUUUGUUCAAAUGACCUAUUUGAGGCUUUGAGAGUUAAAUCAUUUGAUUACAUAUAAUAAUAUUAUUACAGUACUAACUACUAAUACUCAUAGGCGCAACUAGGGUCAAAAAUCUAAGGGGGCUAAAAAUAUUUAUAACUAUACAAGUCUCAUGUUUAAUCAAAAAAUUAUAACUGAUAAGCUGCAAUAGACGUGUUAUAUAUAAACGUUAAUAAAUAUUAAAUUAUUUUGUUAGUUGUAAUUAAAUGGUCUCAAUCAUUUUAAUAAGCUUCAAGUAAAAUCGUUUAAAAACUAGGGGCUAUGGAUAAAAUUGGAGGAGCUAAGCUACCCCAAGCCCCCCCCUAAUUGCGCCUAUGCUAAUACUUAUUAGUUAUAAGUUAUAAUGUUCUUUGUAUAUUGGGAUUAAAUGGUUAAAACCUUAAAACAUUUGGUAUAAUAAUAAUUAAUAAUAUUACUAUAAUAUUAUACAUUUAUAUAAUAUUGUAUCAUUUGUAUCGUUAAACUAUUUUGUUUAUUAAAAGUUAUAUAAAACUUUUUA